rnacentral:sRNA from 1 species
UCUUCCUCACCAAACACAAACCUGUGUCCAGCGCUCCCGGACGCCUCACGGUAUGAAUCCCCUUCAUUUUUGCCUAUUAAUCUCAGCUAACAGUCUCGCAGGUGUUUCCGGUCGAGUGCUGUGACAGUUCGGCCGGCUAUGCACAGGGGAGACAACACGCUUCGGCGUACGUGCCUCUGUGCGGCCGACAGGUAUUUCAGAUCCACAGCGGGUCGUCCAGAACGGUUCCUUGGGCUCUGCUCAGGUUGAGCCGGGAUGGCGGCUUUGCGGCGCGCCACAUUCCUAGUUUCCACAGAAUUACUCCAUUGGAGGCUGAAGAUAGGAGACACAACCGUGGCAGCGUACAUAC